rnacentral:rRNA from 1 species
CCUACGGGUGGCAGCAGUGAGGAAUAUUGGUCAAUGGGCGCGAGCCUGAACCAGCCAAGUAGCGUGAAGGAUGACUGCCCUACGGGUUGUAAACUUCUUUUAUAAAGGAAUAAAGUGAGGCACGUGUGCCUUUUUGUAUGUACUUUAUGAAUAAGGAUCGGCUAACUACGUGCCAGCAGCCGCGGUAAUACGUAGGUGGCAAGCGUUAUCCGGAUUUACUGGGUGUAAAGGGCGUGUAGGCGGGAAAGCAAGUCAGAUGUGAAAACCAUGGGCUCAACCUGUGGCCUGCAUUUGAAACUGUUUUGCUUGAGUACUGGAGAGGCAGACGGAAUUCCUAGUGUAGCGGUGAAAUGCGUAGAUAUUAGGAGGAACUCCGAUUGCGAAGGCAGCCUACUAAACUGCCACUGACAUUGAUGCUCGAAAGUGUGGGUAUCAAACAGGAUUAGAUACCCUUGUAGUC